UAGGGAAUCUUCCGCAAUGGGCGAAAGCUUGACGGAGCAACGCCGCGUGAGUGAUGAAGGUCUUCGGAUCGUAAAACUCUGUUAUUAGGGAAGAACAAAUGUGUAAGUAACUAUGCACGUCUUGACGGUACCUAAUCAGAAAGCCACGGCUAACUACGUGCCAGCAGCCGCGGUAAUACGUAGGUGGCAAGCGUUAUCCGGAAUUAUUGGGCGUAAAGCGCGCGUAGGCGGUUUUUUAAGUCUGAUGUGAAAGCCCACGGCUCAACCGUGGAGGGUCAUUGGAAACUGGAAAACUUGAGUGCAGAAGAGGAAAGUGGAAUUCCAUGUGUAGCGGAGAAAUGGGCAGGGAUAUGGAGGAACACCAGUGGCGAAGGCGACUUUCUGGUCUGUAACUGACGCUGAUGUGCGAAAGCGUGGGGAUCAAACAGG
rnacentral:rRNA from 1 species